rnacentral:rRNA from 1 species
AGAGUUUGAUCCUGGCUCAGAUUGAACGCUGGCGGCAUGCUUUACACAUGCAAGUCGAACGGCAGCACGGGUGCUUGCACCUGGUGGCGAGUGGCGAACGGGUGAGUAAUAUAUCGGAACGUACCCGGCAAUGGGGGAUAACGCAGCGAAAGUUGCGCUAAUACCGCAUAUGCCCUGAGGGGGAAAGUGGGGGACCGGAA